rnacentral:rRNA from 1 species
UACGUAGGGGGCAAGCGUUGUCCGGAAUCACUGGGCGUAAAGCGUCUGUAGGUUGUUUAAAAAGUCUGCAGUUAAAGGUUGAAGCUUAACUUCAAAAAUGCCGUAGAAACUUUUAAACUAAGAGGAUGGUAGGGGUAGAGGGAAUUUCCAGUGGAGCGGUGAAAUGUGUAGAUAUUGGAAAGACCACCGAUGGCGAAGGCACUCUACUGGGCCAUGACUGACACUGAGAGACGAAAGCUAGGGGAGCGAAUGGG